rnacentral:rRNA from 1 species
GUGCACCAGGCGAGAAUCUUGGGCAAUGCCCGCAAGGGUGACCCAGCGACGCCACGUGGGGGAUGAAGCCCGAAAGGGUGUAAACCCCUUUUGGUGGGGAGCAAGGGUGGUUCUUUUGAGCCACCUUGAGAGUACCCACCGAAUAAGGGCUGGCUAAACUCGUGCCCAGCAGCAGCGGUAAUACGAGUGGCCCAAGCGUUCUCCGGAAUUACUGGGCCUAAAGCGUCCGUAGGCGGCCUUGCAAGUUCCUGGUUAAAUCCUGGGGCUCGAACCCCAGAAUUGCCGGGAAGACUGCAAGGCUAGAGGGCGUCAGAGGGUGGCGGAACGCCCGGUGUAGGGGUG